ACCGCAAGUAAUUUUGAGAUGUACGGGAUAAGUGGUAAGUUCAGAAUAACCAGCACGAUGUUGCCAAAGUACAUUGAGAUAAUUACCGACCAGAACACAUCUGGGUGUUCAACAAACAGGCGAGGGCC
rnacentral:ncRNA from 1 species